GGCCACACUCUACUAUAUUUAAUGAGUUAAAAAAAUCACUCCACCCCAAGGGGAAGAUUCUCGAUUUCUCAUUUCUCCAAAAUCGAAUUAAGUGACCUCGGACACGGUGAUGGAUUCUUCUUCUCACUUCUCAAUCCAAAACCUAAGUCAUCUUUACAGCGAGUUGGUUGUUCAUAGAUGCCUUUCUCGUGUCUGAGGGUGACGAUAUUACUUUCACAUCCAUUGACGCUGUGUUAUGUUGCUCAAGGAAUAAAUGACAGCACAUUCCUUUUGCUUUAAGUGUCAAUGGUACAUUUCACGUUUGAAUCUUCUUCGUUUGUGCGUUAAUGUAUCUAGACUUGUGCAAUAUGCAAAUACCUUUACCUCUUUCAAAAAAUCCAUUUUUAUGUAACUAGACUUGUGCAAUAAUGCUCAAAAUAAAGAUUUGAUGGAGUUGGUCAGGCUUCUUGUGCUGUUGUAAAUGUGCUUGGAGUUUGGAAUAUAUUCCCACAUCUCAUUGUAUAAUUCUUAUCCAGCAUGCGUAUAGUUUUGUUUCACAUUUCCUCUUUUUACCACUAAAAGUAUCUCAUUUAGCAAACCAUACUUGUUAAGAUUUGCAAGAAAUUGUGAGAUGUUGGUUUUGUUACUGAGAAAUGUUGGUAACGCACCAUCUAAUACACUAUUUUGAACAUACUUUCUCUUAUUGACUGUAAUUUAUUAGAAAUUACUAAGUCUCGCUUAUGAUUUUGUAGUUUUUUAAUAAAUUUGAAUCAAAACAGAGAAUAUGUUGGAAGGAAUGUGCUUGACAGAGUGUUUAUAAGACUCCUCUUCGUUAUUUGCAUCAUUUUCAACAUUACUAAAGUAGGAAUGAACCAAUAUUUCUAGGAAAUGUAUUGGCCUCUUUGUCUUUAGCAAAAUUUUAAGGAAAAGGGUUGAAUAUGUUUUGUAAGCAUUUGAGAAUAUUUUAAUAUGAUUUCUGUCAAUGUGUGUUAAAAAUUGGAAUAUUCUUCAGAGGAUGUGCAGGUCAAGUAGAUGAAGUUUAAGAAUUGGUUCAUCAAUUCUUCAUUUGUAAGUUAGUACCUUGUCUACAUUUGUAGGAUGACGUUUUUAGUUUUGAUGUUGCUAGAUGAAGAUAUAGAACCGUAGUGCUUGCUUCCUCACUGCGUGCUCCUUUCGGCUUGCUUUUUAUUUGAGUAGUUGUUGAUAGGGACUAAUUUCAUUGAUUGGGAUGUGAAAUUGAGAUGGAGAUUGUGUUAUACAUUGUUCUCAUGCAGAUUUCAAUAUAACAUAUUUGUGGCUACCUUUGGUUCUAAA